ensembl:lncRNA
GAUAGAUAUAGGGUUAUGAUAGAUUCAGGGUUAUGAUAGAUAUAGGGUUAUGAAUAGGGAUAGGUUUAUGAUAGUGAUAGGGUUAUGAUAGAUAUAGUGUUAUGAUAGAUAUAGGGUUAUGAUAGAUUCAGGGUAUGAUAGAUAUAGGGUUAUGAUAGAUAUAGGUUUAUGAUAGGGAUAGGGUUAUGAUAGAUAUAGGGUUAUGAUAGAUAUAGGGUUAUGAUAGAUUCAGGGUUAUGAUAGAUAUAGGGUUAUGAUAGGGAUAGGGUUAUGAUAGAUAUAAAGGUUAUGAUAGUGUU